CUGCUGUCUACAAAAAAAUGUUAGUUUAGUUUAGCUUGGGACCCCCGUGAAAAUGUAUUUAGUAAAAUAUUUUUGGCUUGGUCUAUUUUUGACUUUGUGUGGAAUAAAUCAGGUGUAUUCGCGACUCGACUUUACAAACUUCAAGUGCAUAUCUCUGGACAAAGAUGCGUUCGAGUUCGAAUAUUGUUUUCUGAAAUCAAUUAAUCGAACAUCAAAAUAUGUCUCCGCCAAGCUAAAAGUGUUCAAGCUGCCCAUUAAAAGUAUGAAAGUCAGCCGGACAGACUCAUAGCUAAUGGAUCUAUGGAUGAAAUGUCUUCUUCCAGAUUAACUUUGGAAUGUACCAGCUGCAGAAUGGAUAUAAGCCCUUUUUGUAUAAUACAUCUAUUGAUUAUUGCAAGUUUGUGAAGAACCAGAGGUCAAAUCCAAUUGCCAGAUACUAUUACAACCUUAUCAAGGACAUCAGCAGCUUGAAUCACUCCUGUCCCUUUAACCAUGAUUUUAUUGUGGACAGGUUCUCCACUGAACUGGUGAACAGAGAACUCCCAAAAAUCGUGCCUUUUCCAGCUGGGAAAUAUAUGUUCGAGACGCACUGGACCGCCAAUGAAGCAUACCGCUGCAUAACCAAGCUGUAUUUGGAGCUUUUGUAAUCCGAAACAAAAUUAUAUACACAGCCCUUUGGUUUUAAAGGUUUUUAUUAAAUAGUAUAGAUAACAGCUACGAAGAAAACGGUUUUAAUGAGAGAAGUUCUUAACUGGCCCGGCAACUUUGAGAUGAAAUCGAGACAAGAGGUCAAUGUUGCUGCAGCCUCAAAUAUUAUUUGACCUAUUAUGUAUUUUCUUAUAUUCGUUUUUUAUUAUAAAUUUCUGAUUGUGGGCUGUGAGCUCGUAAAGCUAAUUAUCUUGAGUACAUACAAAAAUUAAAUGUUUCACAUUUGUAAUUGCAAUGUAAGCGAUCUGAAUUCACAGUGCUGCAGAGAAGUUGCCUAUCUGUAGAUAAUAUCUUUGGUUUCCUGGUUAUUCUUGGACACACGUACACACAUAUAAAAUUACAAUAAAAUGGUGCCAAACAUCUGAUCUAAAGUUACUUCUGGUUGACUAGUGUAAGGAGUACUGACUAAGGUCGAUAGGGGAU